AAAUAAGUCACAAAUUCAGAUCCGAAAGAUUUUUCUUUCCUUUGUCUCUUACUCCUUCUAGGUUCUAUUUCCGAUUGUGGUUCAACAGAAGUAUCAUCAAGAGAUUCUUCAUGAACUCUCUUAGAAGAACUAGAAGUAGUAUUAUCUUCAGUUUGUAUAGUUGAAGACUUGUAUAUAUUUUCAAAAAAUUCAGCAUCAAUUGAUUCGAUAACAUCAUAGGAUUCU
rnacentral:lncRNA from 1 species